AUAACGGAUUCGAAGAAGAAUAAAAAGGGCGCCAAAUCUCAAAACCCUAAUUCGAAGAAGAAUAAGAACAAGAAGGAUCCAUCUCCAGAACUCGCUGAAGAUGUCGACAUCGAAGAAGAAGGAGAGCUGGAGCCGGACAUCGAAGAUGCAGAAGAACAAAGCCGAGGGACUCCGAGGAUGAAGGAUCCGAUGCCUCUUCUGACGUCAAUCCGUGCACCGACGACGAUAUCUACAAAGACAGCAGCAGUGGCGUGAAUAAAACCUGUCUCCAUUUCUUUAGGAGAUUUGAGAUUCUGGGUCUGAAUCGGACGAGAGCGAUUUAGAGGCGAAGUCUAGGGCGAUAGGCGAGGAGAAGGCGAGAGAGGAAGAGGAAGAGGAAGCUGAAGAUGAACUGAAGCUUAAUAUAAAGGAAGAGCCUGAUGAGUUUAGAUUACCUACAAAAAAGGAGUUCGAAGAAGAGCAGCAUCAACCACCAAACCUGCCUAGACUCCAGCGAAGAAGAAUGAAAGAGAGUAUGUAGAACACUACAUCUUUACAUCCACCGCCCAAACAUAAAAUAAAGUUUGCUUUGUUGUACUUUCUAAGUGGAUCUAGCUCUUGCGCUCAAUGUUUGUGACAGUGGUUAAGUAUUAUGGAUUCACUUUCAUGUAGUUGU